rnacentral:rRNA from 1 species
UACGUAGGGUGCAAGCGUUAAUCGGAAUUACUGGGCGUAAAGCGUGCGCAGGCGGUUCGUUAAGACAGAUGUGAAAUCCCCGGGCUUAACCUGGGAACUGCAUUUGUGACUGGCGGACUGGAGUAUGGCAGAGGGGGGUAGAAUUCCACGUGUAGCAGUGAAAUGCGUAGAGAUGUGGAGGAAUACCGAUGGCGAAGGCAGCCCCCUGGGCCAAUACUGACGCUCAUGCACGAAAGCGUGGGGAGCAAACAGG